rnacentral:rRNA from 1 species
CCCGGGGCGCGCCCCGGGCGGGGCGGGGGCACGGGGGGAACGCGAAGACCCUUACCUGGCCUUGAAAUACAAAGAACUUUCCAGAGAUGGAUUGGUGCCUUCGGGAAUUUAGAUACAGGUGCUGCAUGGCUGUCGUCAGCUCGUGUUGUGAGAUGUUGGGUUAAGUCCCGCAACGAGCGCAACCCUUUUCCUUAUUUGCCAGCGGUUAGGCCGGGAACUUUAAGGAUACUGCCAGUGACAAACUGGAGGAAGGCGGGGACGACGUCAAGUCAUCAUGGCCCUUACGACCAGGGCUACACACGUGCUACAAUGGUCGGUACAAAGGGUUGCUACCUAGCGAGAGCAUGCUAAUCUCAAAAAGCCGAUAGUAGUCCGGAUUGGAGUCUGCAACUCGACUCCAUGAAGUCGGAAUCGCUAGUAAUCGCGGAUCA